CCUACGGGGGGCAGCAGUGAGGAAUAUUGGUCAAUGGACGAGAGUCUGAACCAGCCAAGUAGCGUGAAGGAUGACUGCCCUAUGGGUUGUAAACUUCUUUUAUAUGGGAAUAAAAUGUUCCACGUGUGGGAUUUUGUAUGUACCAUAUGAAUAAGGAUCGGCUAACUCCGUGCCAGCAGCCGCGGUAAUACGGAGGAUCCGAGCGUUAUCCGGAUUUAUUGGGUUUAAAGGGAGCGUAGGUGGAUUGUUAAGUCAGUUGUGAAAGUUUGCGGCUCAACCGUAAAAUUGCAGUUGAAACUGGCAGUCUUGAGUACAGUAGAGGUGGUCGGAAUUCGUGGUGUAGCGGUGAAAUGCUUAGAUAUCACGAAGAACUCCGAUUGCGAAGGCAGUUCACUGGACUGCAACUGACACUGAGGCUCGAAAGUGUGGGUAUCAAACAGGAUUAGAUACCCCAGUAGUC
rnacentral:rRNA from 1 species